rnacentral:lncRNA from 1 species
GUCGUGUUCACCACUGCUGCUCUGAUAAGCCAACAUCCUUAUGCCAUCGUGGGCAAAGACGUCAACCGGGCAGCCUAAAGAGCCUAUAGGAGCCCAAUGUAGUCCUUCUGGAAACAUACGGCGAGCCUAGACUUGUGUAUCUAAGGCACUAACCGAGAACAUAUUGGGCCGUAAGUUGUCCGUGUCUUAACAAGAACUUUCCACAUUCCACCUUUAAUGCCCCCACACUGGGUU